rnacentral:piRNA from 1 species
UGNGUUUAGGCCAGGUGCUGUCAUACUCAAU